GAUAAACGCUGGCGGCGUGCUUAACACAUGCAAGUCGAACGAUGAAGCCCAGCUUGCUGGGUGGAUUAGUGGCGAACGGGUGAGUAACACGUGAGUAACCUACCCUUGACUCUGGGAUAAGCCCGGGAAACUGGGUCUAAUACCGGAUAGGAACGUCCACCGCAUGGUGGUUGUUGGAAAGAUUUAUCGGUCAUGGAUGGACUCGCGGCCUAUCAGCUUGUUGGUGAGGUAAUGGCUCACCAAGGCGACGACGGGUAGCCGGCCUGAGAGGGUGACCGGCCACACUGGGACUGAGACACGGCCCAGACUCCUACGGGAGGCAGCAGUGGGGAAUAUUGCACAAUGGGCGAAAGCCUGAUGCAGCGACGCCGCGUGAGGGAUGACGGCCUUCGGGUUGUAAACCUCUUUCAGUAGGGAAGAAGCGAAAGUGACGGUACCUGCAGAAGAAGCACCGGCUAACUACGUGCCAGCCGCCGCAGUAA
rnacentral:rRNA from 1 species